GCAUUCAGGUUUGGGGGGUGGCUGUCUUGUGUGUGCUCCGUGUUCCUAAACUGCUCUUAGAAAGUGGAAGUGAAACCACCCGAGUUGUCCUUUUGUCCCCCUUUCCUGCCAGCCUUGGUGUUUGCAGAGAGGUCUCCGUGCUGUGUCGCGUUGCUGUUCGGGCCAUCGCUCUGCUUAUCGCUCCCCGUGAUUAUUACUGCUAUAACCAGCCCGAGCACAAACAUUUCCUCACCGGCUGUCAGAAGUGACGUGCUGGUCAUCAGCCGGGCCUCAUGGGCCAUGGAUCAGCGCUGCUCGGGUUAGGCCAGACCCCUUUGCAGUUACGCUGGGGUGACAAGGGGUGGCUGUCCUGGAGCGAAUCUUUGUUCUCCUGCACCUGACUUCGCUGUGGCUCGGUGGAACAGGACCGGCUCUGCAAACAGCUUUUGCCUUCUUGCUGCUUUGCGUCACCGUAACGGCGUUCCUUGGCCGCGGCUUGAUUUAUGCUUGCUGUGCCGAAUCGGGAUAUGCCCUCGGGGACGAGUAAGAAAUGCCAAAGCCACCAGUGCGUGAGUGUCGGAGGGGUGUGGAAACGUCUCUCUGCUGUGGCAGAGCAGGCCGUGGAGCACGAGGAAGGAGGACUGGUGGCAGAGGAGAGCUAACUGAGAAGCAGGAAAGCUGCACGUGCGAAUAAAGCGUGGAUAACUCCUUCCGAACUGGGCUGAGCAUCGUGCAGAUAUGCCACUGUGUAUUAGAACUGGUUAAAAACAAAUCGAAAGUUUAUCAUGUCUGAAUCUUUUGGGCUUAUUGGUGAUUGAUUAUUUAAUUAUACGAACUGUACCCUGGGUCUGGGGGAUGAUUUGUAAGAACGGCAGAAAGCAAUUAAACAAGAAAAGCUGAG